UCUGUUUUCAAAUGGAGAAACGUGGAAAGAGAUGUGUCGUUUUGCCCUCAGCACCCUGAAAGACUUUGGGAUGGGGAAGAGAGUUGCAGAGGAGAAAAUCUUAGAGGAGUGUGGACACCUCAUUCAAGUGUUUGAGAGUUAUAAAGGUAUAACAUAAUGGUGUGUUUCUCUAAUAAACAGACAUAAAAUUCUUCACUGAAAUGGUUUAAUCAUUGUUGUAGUCUACUAAUUCAUAUUCCUUUUGUAAGUUAAGUACAUUUUAAUGUCAUGAUGGGUACCAGUUUUCUAACAUGCAGAACACAAGACAGGAGAAGUUGCAUAUGAAUAAGUGAGUUUAUUGUGAACACAAUAAAUGAUGAACAUAGAGUGACGGGUCUGGUCCAGGGAAGGAAUGGGCUCACGGAGCGAUCGGCACACUAUGUGAAGCAGAGCAGGAUGAGAUGAGUUCAAAAGCCGUCGGAAACGGGAGUACUAACAGGUAAAUGGAACGAGCUUACUUGUGGAGAUGAGGUUUGUUGUUUUGGGUGGAUUCACAAUAAAUGAAACACUGACCAACA